ACGCACGCUGGCGGCGUGCUUAACACCUGCCAGUCGAACGGUGAAGGGGUCUGCUUUUGUGGGCCCUGGAUGAGUGGCGAACGGGUGAGUAACACGUGAGUAACCUGCCCCCUUCUUCUGGAUAACCGCAUGAAAGUGUGGCUAAUACGGGAUAUUCUGGGUCUGUCGCAUGAUGGGUCUGGGAAAGAUUGCGCCUUUGGGUGUUGUUGGUGGGGGAUGGGCUCGCGGCCUAUCAGCUUGUUGGUGGGGUGAUGGCCUACCAAGGCGGUGACGGGUAGCCGGCCUGAGAGGGUGGACGGUCACACUGGGACUGAGACACGGCCCAGACUCCUACGGGAGGCAGCAGUGGGGAAUAUUGCACAAGGGGCGCAAGCCUGAUGCAGCGACGCCGCGUGAGGGAUGGAGGCCUUCGGGUUGUAAACCUCUUUCGCCAGUGAAGCAGGCCUGCUCCUUGUGGGUGGGUUGACGGUAGCUGGAUAAGAAGCGCCGGCUAACUACGUG
rnacentral:rRNA from 1 species